GACGAACCGUGCGAACGUUGUUCGGAUUCACUGGGCUUAAAGGCGCGUAGGCGGACUCGCAAGUCUGUGGUGAAAGCCCCAGCUCAACUGGGAAGUGCCGUGGAUACUGCAAGUCUGGAGGAGGUAGGGCAUCUGGAACGCUGGGUGGAGCGGUGAAUGCGUGAUAUCCAGCGGAACUCCGGUGGCGAAGGCGACAUCCUGGACCGGUAUGACGCUGAG
rnacentral:rRNA from 1 species